AGAGUUUGAUCCUGGCUCAGGAUGAACGCUGGCGGAAUGCUUAACACAUGCAAGUCUACUUGAAAGUACCUUCGGGUACAAUUAGAGUGGCGGACGGGUGAGUAACGCGUGAACAACCUGCCCAAUAGACUGGGAUAACUUCUCGAAAGGGGAGCUAAAACCGGAUAUUAUAUAUUUAUCGCCUGUUAAAUAUAUGAAACACUAUAUGUGCUAUUGGAGGGGUUCGCGUCCCAUUAGCUAGUUGGUAGGGUAAUGGCCUACCAAGGCGACGAUGGGUAGCCGGCCUGAGAGGGUGAUCGGCCACAAGGGAACUGAGACACGGUCCUUACUCCUACGGGAGGCAGCAGUGGGGAAUAUUGCGCAAUGGAGGCAACUCUGACGCAGCAAUUCCGCGUGGAUGAUGAAGGUUUUCGGAUUGUAAAGUCCUUUCAGCAGGGAAGAAUUCUUGACGGUACCUGCAGAAGAAGCCACGGCUAAUUACGUGUCAGCAGCCGCGGUAAGACGUAAGUGGCAAGCGUUAUCCGGAUUUACUGGGCGUAAAGGGCGUGUAGGCGGCCAUAUAAGUCAGAAGUGAAAAGUCUGGGCUCAACCGAGGCCUUGCUUUUGAAACUAUAUGGCUAGAGUACAGGAGAGGAGGGCGGAACUACCAGUGUAGCGGUGAAAUGCGUAGAUAUUGGUAGGAAUGCCGAUGACGAAGGUAGCUCUCUGGACUGAUACUGACGCUGAGGCGCGAAAGCUAGGGGAGCGAACAGGAUUAGAUACCCUGGUAGUCCUAGCUGUAAACGAUGGAUACUAGGUGUGGGCAAUAGUAUUGUCUGUGCCGGAGCAAACGCGAUAAGUAUCCCGCCUGGGGAGUACGGUCGCAAGACUAAAACUCAAAGGAAUUGACGGGGACCCGCACAAGCGGUGGAGCAUGUGGUUUAAUUCGACGUAACGCGAGGAACCUUACCAGGUCUUGACAUCGCUUGAAUUUCUUAGAGAUAGGAAAGUGCCCUUCGGGGAGCAAGUGGACAGGUGGUGCAUGGCUGUCGUCAGCUCGUUCCGUGAGGUGUUGGGUUAAGUCCCGCAACGAGCGCAACCCCUAUUGCUAGUUACCAUCAUUAAGUUGGGGACUCUAGUGAGACUGCCUGCGACGAGCAGGAGGAAGGUGGGGAUGACGUCAAGUCAUCAUGCCCCUUAUGACCUGGGCUACACACGUGCUACAAUGGGUAGUACAAAGAGAAGCGAAACAGUGAUGUGGAGCGAAUCUCAUAAAUCUACUCUUAGUUCGGAUUGCAGUCUGCAACUCGACUACAUGAAGUUGGAAUCGCUAGUAAUCGCAAAUCAGCAAUGUUGCGGUGAAUACGUUCUCGGGUCUUGUACACACCGCCCGUCACACCACGAGAGUUUAUUGCACCUGAAGUAACUGGCCUAACCCGUAAGGGGAGGAGGUUCCUAAGGUGUGGUAGGCGAUUGGGGUGAAGUCGUAACAAGGUA
rnacentral:rRNA from 1 species